rnacentral:lncRNA from 1 species
AGAUUCAUAUAGCUACAAUCUUGGACAUAACCUUUGAGACCAUUCUUGCCAAUAUUGCAACGUUAAUGCACAUUGACAAAACAAACUUCGUUACCCCAUCUCUCUCCCAUUCAAUGUUGUAAACAGCACCAACACAACCUUCGACAAAUUACCAUGAUGCAAGCUCAACAUUGAGUUGGGGGAGCGGAGGCUUAAGAAGCGCAACAUGAUUUAACAUGC